rnacentral:tRNA from 2 species
GCUUUAAUAAUUUAUAAAAAAUAUUGGUCUUGUAAACCAAAAAAAUGGAAACAUUUUUAGCU